CGCGGCGUGGGGUGGUGUGGGGCGGCCGGGUCGGGCCGGUGCGGGCGCCAUGGAGUACGUGACGGCCGAGCAGCUGGCCGGCUUCAGCAAGUAUAAGAGCAACCCAAACAACUCGCCCUUGUGCAGGCUUUGUGGUGUGUGGUGCCUGGAGCUGGAUGCAGAAGAGAGGGGAAGGAUGCUUCGUGUGUUGCAUGCUGCGCUGGUAUUGCUGCUUCUUGUGCAUCUCGAUGAGCUGCAUGCAGUCUUUGCAGCUCCUGGGACUCAUUUCUGGGGGCUGCCACAGUGCCAGGAGCAGCUGCAGAAAGGGAAACUGAAUGAGGGCAGAGCGCUGCGGCUUGGUGGUGGUGCCAGCUUCCAUGGCUGCUCGCAGUGUUUUGGGUUCCAUUCCACCAAUCCUUGGUGUCCCAAGGUUCCUGCAGGCUUUCCUGGC
ensembl:lncRNA